rnacentral:rRNA from 1 species
AUACGGAGGGUGUAAGCGUUGUUCGGAAUUAUUGGGCGUAAAGCGCGUGUAGGCUGUAUCGCAAGUCAGGUGUGAAAGCCCUCGGCUCAACCGAGGAACUGCGCUUGAAACUGCGGAACUAGAGUACGGGAGAGGGAUGUAGAAUUCCUGGUGUAGAGGUGAAAUUCGUAGAUAUCAGGAGGAAUACCUGUAGCGAAGGCGACAUCCUGGACCGAUACUGACGCUGAGACGCGAAAGCGUGGGGAGCAAACAGGAUUAGAAACCCGGGUAGUCC